AACAGCAAUCCUCCCUUGGAGAGGCUGGCAGGAAAGUGUUCAAAACCCCUCCCCAGCUCCCAUGGCCUUGGACAGCAAAUCAAACCUUCUGCACCUCAAUGUCACUACAUGCAAAGUGGGAAUAAGCUUACCCCUCCCAGGGUUGGGCAUAGUAGGUUAUGGAAAAUCGUGGUUCUUAUUAAUCAUGAUGUGUCUAACUCCACAUAAAAAUAACUUCCCCUGCAGGACCCCUGCUCCCGGGAGAACACUGCUCUAUCAGCUGAGGCCCUGAGCUGACCCAGCACCGCCUGAAUCACGAUCUUCUAUUAAUGUUCUGUUCAGGGAAAACCCUGGAACCAGGGCCCACGGUGCUUUCAUUCUCCACAUUCUUGCCCUAAUCAGGUAUGCUGAGCCUUCGGAACAUCAUUUCCAUGUUUGCAAAAUGAAGACAUAGAGCUGAUUCUGUCUCCUUGGCAGAGCCAAUGACGAGGUGAAUUAAAUGAGUGGGUUUCCUUCAGCGCCCGCCUCCAACAAGGCAUUUGGAAUGUCCCAAAACAUGGCAGCAUGCAGGACCAUCUUCUCUCCUUUAGAGGGGCAGUGGCCCAAAUUAGUUCUGACCUUUCUCUUCUGUUUUGUGAAGGAAAGGCAGUAGACACGGAGCGGGGAGAAGGGCUCCAUUAUUACCGAAAAAAAUGGAAGACAUUUCGUUCACGAGGAGAUCAUCUUCUAGGGAGCCUCGUGUGUGCACCAGUCAGCAUGGUGCUUUUGGGCAGAAGCUAGGAGGGCGCUCUGAAGCCAGAGGGAUCUUACGGAUGAGAUGAGGUGCCCAGCUCUCCCCCCUUAUGGGAACGCCAGGUCCCACCUUCCUUCAACACCAGGUCCCACCUUCCUUCAGUCUUUCAUCACCGCAGUGUCCUGUGGGGUACGGGAUUUGGUCUCAAGUGGAGCCACAUAAUUUACUUUUAGAAAAUCUUAGUUCAGAAAUAUUAUUUUCCAGGAUUCUGUUCUGCUUUUUAAAAAUAAAUAAAUAUGUCAACCAACAAGAAAGAAUCCUUUAAUUUGCUGUUGAUUUCUCGGCUCAGUGCAUCUUUUCUCUGUUGGUUGAUUCAGGGCUUAAGAGUUGUGAAGUCUUGUUUGGAGAAAAUAAGAUUUGGGAAAGGUGAGUGAUGAGUGUCACACUCAGCCAUUCAACAGGCAUUCACUGGACAAGGUGGUGGGUGUAUCAGAUGUCUGCCAAACAGUGGGAACACCGUGUAGCUC
rnacentral:lncRNA from 10 species